rnacentral:rRNA from 1 species
AACGAACGCUGGCGGCAGGCUUAACACAUGCAAGUCGAACGUGAAGCCAGAGCUUGCUCUGGUGGAAAGUGGCAGACGGGUGAGUAACGCGUGGGAAUUUACCCAAUGGUACGGAAUAACCCAAGGAAACCUGGGCUAAUACCGUAUACGCCCUUCGGGGAAAGAUUUAUCGCCAUUGGAUGAGCCCGCGUCGGAUUAGCUUGUUGGUGGGGUAACGGCCCACCAAGGCGACGAUCCGUAGCUGGUCUGAGAGGAUGAUCAGCCACACUGGGACUGAGACACGGCCCAGACUCCUACGGGAGGCAGCAGUGGGGAAUAUUGCACAAUGGGCGAAAGCCUGAUGCAGCCAUGCCGCGUGAGUGAAGAAGGCCUUAGGGUUGUAAAACUCUUUCACCGGUGAAGAUAAUGACGGUAGCCGGAGAAGAAGCCCCGGCUAACUCCGUG